AAGUCUAAAACGACUCUCGGCAACGGAUAUCUCGGCUCUCGCAUCGAUGAAGAACGUAGCGAAAUGCGAUACUUGGUGUGAAUUGCAGAAUCCCGUGAACCAUCGAGUCUUUGAACGCAAGUUGCGCCCCAAGCCUUCAGGCCGAGGGCACGUCUGCCUGGGUGUCACAA
rnacentral:rRNA from 6 species